rnacentral:RNase_P_RNA from 2 species
GAGGAAAGUCCGGGCUUUAUAGGGCAGGAUGCCGGAUAACAUCCGGUAGAGGCGACUCUAAGGAAAGUGCAACAGAAAAUAACCGCCGAAAGGUAAGGGUGAAAAGGUGGUGUAAGAGACCACCGCUUGUAUGGUAACAUAAAAGGCAGUGUAAACCCCAUCCGAAGCAAGACCGAAGCGAAUAGGGCUGCCCGUCCGAUAUUCAGGUAGGUUGCUAGAGCCUUGUGGUAACAUAAGGACCAGAUAGAUGACCGUUUAAUACAUAACCCGGCUUA